AAAUUGCUAAAAGAUUAGAAACUAGCAAUAGUAUAAAACCGACUAAAGUGACGAUAAGGGAGCUUUGAAGUUUACUGGUGUUGAAAACCUAAAUUUAUUUAGGGAUCCUAAAGGUAAAAUAAAAGUACCCACCUGUAGAAAAACGCAGGUUUUAUCGUUAUGUUAGGAUCUGUCUUUUGGCUUUUUU
rnacentral:other from 1 species